UACGUAGGGUGCAGGCGUUGUCCGGAAUUAUUGGGCGUAAAGAGCUCGUAGGCGGUUCGUCGCGUCGGCUGUGAAAACCUGAGGCUCAACCUCAGGCCUGCAGUCGAUACGGGCGGACUUGAGUACUGCAGGGGAGACUGGAAUUCCUGGUGUAGCGGUGAAAUGCGCAGAUAUCAGGAGGAACACCGGUGGCGAAGGCGGGCCUCUGGGCCGAUACUGACGCUGAGGAGCGAAAGCGUGGGGAGCGAACAGG
rnacentral:rRNA from 1 species